rnacentral:rRNA from 1 species
UGCAGUCGAACGGUAGCAGGAAGUGCUUGCACUUUGCUGACGAGUGGCGGACGGGUGAGUAAUGCUUGGGAACUUGCCUUUAGGUGGGGGAUAACAGUUGGAAACGACUGCUAAUACCGCAUAAUGUCUACGGACCAAAGGGGGCUUCGGCUCCCGCCUUGAGAGAGGCCCAAGUGAGAUUAGCUAGUUGGUGGGGUAAAGGCCUACCAAGGCAACGAUCUCUAGCUGUUCUGAGAGGAAGAUCAGCCACACUGGGACUGAGACACGGCCCAGACUCCUACGGGAGGCAGCAGUGGGGAAUAUUGCACAAUGGGGGAAACCCUGAUGCAGCCAUGCCGCGUGUGUGAAGAAGGCCUUCGGGUUGUAAAGCACUUUCAGUUGUGAGGAAAGGUUGGUAGUUAAUACCUGCCAGCUGUGACGUUAACAACAGAAGAAGCACCGGCUAACUCCGUGCCAGCAGCCGCGGUAAUACGGAGGGUGCGAGCGUUAAUCGGAAUUACUGGGCGUAAAGCGCACGCAGGCGGCUUGUUAAGCUAGAGGUGAAAGCCCCGCGCUCAACGUGGGAACUGCCUUUAGAACUGGCAGGCUAGAGUCUUGGAGAGGGGAGUGGAAUUCCAGGUGUAGCGGUGAAAUGCGUAGAUAUCUGGAGGAACAUCAGUGGCGAAGGCGGCUCCCUGGCCAAAGACUGACGCUCAUGUGCGAAAGUGUGGGUAGCGAACAGGAUUAGAUACCCUGAUAGUCCACACCGUAAACGCUGUCUACUAGCUGUUUGUGUAUUUAAUACGUGAGUA